GUAGAUUAUGACCUGGAAAAUCUAGAACCUCCCAUUUUAACUGUAGAAGAGGCUCUUGAGAGGUCUAGCCUUUUUGAGAUACCGCCUAUGCUCUAUCCCAAACAAGUAGGUGAUUUAUCUAAGGGAAUGGCUGAAGCUGAUCAUAAGAUUCUCUCUGCCGAGAUAAAACUUGGGUCCCAAUAUUAUUUCUAUAUGGAGAAUNNNNCUUCCUGAUGAAGACAACUGCAUGGUGGUUUACAGUUCAAGUCAAUGCCCUGAGAAUGCACAGGUUGCGAUUGCAAAAUGUCUUGGUGUUCCUGAACAUAAUGUGCGUGUGCUUACAAGAAGGGUUGGAGGAGGUUUUGGUGGAAAGGCGAAAGCCAUGCCUGUUGCUACAGCAUGUGCACUUGCAGCACACAAGUUGCAGCGCCCUGUUAGGAUAUAUAUGAACCGCAAGACUGAUAUGGUAAUAGCAGGAGGAAGGCAUCCUAUGAAAAUAACAUACAGUGUAGGAUUCAAAUCUAAUGGGAAAAUCACUGCCUUACAUCUUGAUAUCUUAAUUAAUGCUGGCAUAACUCUGGACUGUAGCCCAUUGAUGCCAAAAGCCAUUGUGGGUGCACUUAAAAAGUAUGAUUGGGGUGCUUUAUCAUUUGAUAUAAAGUUAUGCAAAACAAACCUGUCAAGUAAAUCAGCAAUGCGUGGCCCUGGAGACCUGCAAGGAUCAUAUAUUGCAGAAGCAGUAAUUGAACAAGUAGCAUCUUUUCUUCCCAUGGAGGCAGAUACUGUGAGGGCCAUAAAUUUUCACACGUAUGAUAGCCUUCAGUUAUUCUAUGGUGUUGCUGCAGGGGAUCCUCUAGAAUAUACUUUAACUUCAAUAUGGGAUAAGUUAGCCACAUCUUCAAGCUUUGACCAAAGGACUGAAAUGAUACAAGAGUUUAAUAGGAAUAAUGUGUGGAAAAAGAGAGGUAUUUCGCGAAUGCAUUGUGUGUACGAUGUGACAUUGAGACCAACUCCUGGAAAAGUAAGCAUUCUAAGUGAUGGGUCUAUUGUUGUUGAAGUUGGAGGAAUAGAGAUAGGUCAGGGUCUCUGGACAAAGGUGAAACAGAUGGUUGCAUUUGGUCUCAGUGCAAUCAAAUGCGAUGGAGCAGAAGACUUCUUGGAUAAGGUACGAGUUGUACAAGCUGAUACUUUGAGUUUAAUUCAAGGAGGGAUCACUGGUGGGAGCACUACAUCUGAGUCAAGCUGUGAAGCAGUCAGACUUAGCUGUGAAGCAUUGGUUGAGAGACUGAUACCUCUAAAGGAAAGGUUGCUGAUGCAAACGGACUCAAUAAGAUGGGAGAAACUUAUCCAACAGGCAUAUUUGGAAGCUGUGAACUUAUCAGCGAAUUCUUUCUUCAUUCCUGACUCUGCUUCAACAAAUUACUUAAACUAUGGUGCUGCUGUGACUGAGGUGGAAGUAGAUCUUCUGACAGGGCAAACAACAAUUUUGAGAUCUGAUAUUUUAUAUGAUUGUGGACAAA
rnacentral:misc_RNA from 1 species